GCAUCAGUAGUCUAGUGGUUAUGAUGCGGCCUUCCCAUCCUUCUGCGAGGAAGGCAGGAAAAUCCUGCCUGGGAUUAGGCCGAGGUCCUGGGUUCGAACCCCAGCUGUUGCA